rnacentral:tRNA from 1 species
CCUGAGAGCAUAGUGGUAGAGCGUCUCCUUGCCAAGGAGAAUGUCGAGAGUUCGAAUCUCUUCAUCCGCU